rnacentral:rRNA from 1 species
GUCCGCCAGAGAAUUACAAGCAUAUCGCUUCAAACCCAAAGGACUUGACGGUGCCCCACACCAGCCUAGAGGAGCCUGUCCUAUAAUCGAUACUCCACGUUUUACCUUCCCCCCCCUUGCACCCCAGCCUAUAUACCGCCGUCGCCAGUCCGCCUGAUGACAGAUUUCCUUUCACAGCCGACAAAACAGCUAAUCACAAAAACGUCAGGUCAAGGUGUAGCUGAUGGGGGGGUUAGCGAUGGGCUACAUUUUCUAAAAUAGAACCUACCUACCACACCAUGAAAUAUGAGUCAAAAGGCGGAUUUAGUAGUAAGCAUGAAUAAGACCUGUCACCCUGAA